UACGUAGGGUGCGAGCGUUAAUCGGAAUUACUGGGCGUAAAGGGCGCGUAGGCGGUGCGGUAAGUCUGAUGUGAAAUCUCCGGGCUCAACUCGGAGUCUGCAUCAGAAACUGCCGUGCUCGAGUGUGGGAGAGGUGAGUGGAAUUCCCGGUGUAGCGGUGAAAUGCGUAGAUAUCAAGUGGAACACCAGUGGCGAAGGCGAGUCUCUGGACAUUUCCUGACGCUGAGGCACGAAAGCCAGGGGGGCAAACGGG
rnacentral:rRNA from 1 species